rnacentral:rRNA from 1 species
CACGUAGGGCGCAAGCGUUGUCCGGAAUUAUUGGGCGUAAAGAGCUCGUAGGCGGUCUGUUACGUCUGCUGUGAAAACCCUGGGCUUAACCCUGGGCUUGCAGUGGAUACGGGGCAGACUAGAGGCAGGUAGGGGGAGAAUGGAAUUCCCGGUGUAGCGGUGAAAUGCGCAGAUAUCAGGAGGAACACCGGUGGCGAAGGCGGUUCUCUGGGGCCUUACCUGACGCUGAGGAGCGAAAGCGUGGGGAGCGAACAGG